UGGUUGGCGUGUUGGCAGUACCGCAAAAACACACGUUUUCUCCCCCUCCCCCCUCGGAGCUGUCAGCCCAGCCAGCCAGCAAAGGACCUGAGUUCUGGCAGUUUCGGCAUGUUGGAAGAAUAAAUUGACCAUAUAGUAUUGACAACCGUUGUCUUCUUUUAAAAUGGCAUUCUCUCCAUGGCGCUUGAAAUUUGCCAACAACCUCCAAUGGAUUGCUUGGGUGCUUUUAUUUUCCCAAAUCUUUAUUCUUGUUCAUUCUGUAGCUAACAAUUUGCAUUUAAUGGAGGGAACAAGUAUACCUGAAGUGCUGGGGUCUGAUGUAUUUUUUGAAAUAAUUGAGCCUGGAGAACUUGGUUAUACUUAUAGAUUAAGGCCAGCUAAAGAUUUUGGUGCUCCAUUUAACGAGAGCUUUCGAGCAAUGGGUGUUGGGCUGAUUCCUGUGGAUCCCCCCAGUGGCUGCAGUUGGCCACGAAAUGCUGAAUUUGUGGAGGGAAACAUCGCCCUAGUUGAAAGAGGGGAAUGUUCAUUUGUAACAAAAGCAUUGAAAAUGGAAGAAGUUGGAGCUCUUGCUGUUAUAGUCGCUGAUAAUGAUAUUAAAGGUGAUGAGCAUUUCAUUGAUAUGGUCGAUGACAACACACUGAGAGAAGUCCACAUACCUGCUGGAUUCAUUCUAGGGAAGAAUGGGCAUAUGAUUCGCAGAACACUGGCCAAACUUCGAAGAAGAAGAGCUAUUAUAAAUAUUCCUAUAAAUUUAACUUAUGUGCCAGUUGUGAAACACAAACAGCCACCAUGGCUUGGCUGGUAACUUUAAAAUUUUUAUCUUUAUAAGUUUCAACAGCAAUGGUGUGAUAAGGGUUGCAAAAGUAGACCUCUCGUUUUUAAUUGUUAGUGGCACUACUUCAAACUAGUCAUUUGUAGUUCAAUUGUACCUGUAAAAAGUCAAAUCAUGCAUCAUCACCGUCCUUAAAUAUUAAACUGCCCUAAUUUUUAGCACUGUUUGUAAAUUUGUACUAUUAAUGGGUUGACUCAUAAGCAGAUGUCAUACUGUUUAAAGCAACAAUCACAAUUAGUAUUAAAACCUCCCAGCACAGUAUUGAUAGAAUGCAUUGAAGGUUUUGACUUUCAAGUAACUCACUUAACUAUGUUUCAAUGAAAUAAAAGUUGUUAUUAGCACUUUUAUCCUUUAUCUUUUUGUUAUGUUUCUCAUGUCUAAUAUGACCACUUUUUCUGAUGCGUCAGUUUGUCUGAAAAAAUUAAUGUGUUCUACUCCCUUGUCAACCCCAUUCUUAUCUCUUUGUUUUAUUUAUUUAUUACGGGUUUAUUGUUUACUUAUAAAUGGCUUUUGCCAGUCUCAUUUAUCAGAUUUUUUUGCUCUCGUGAUCAUUCGUUGUUCCAAUUAAUCUGCUAAUGAGUACAGUAAACAAAUGUCUAUGUUUUCCACCGUCCUCAAUUUCCCUGGCCAGCUACGUACAUGGACAAAUUCUAAAUAGCGAUAAGGCAGUUUUUGUUGGUUUUGUUUCGUAUUUACUGGCUGGAUUUACAGUCCUGAUUUCAAGUGACUAUUGGUAACAGUUUUAUGAGAAGUUUCCUUGUUCGCUGUAACCUACUGUUUUUGUUGAAACCCUAGAAAGUAAAAAAGAAUUGAAUUGUUAACAA
rnacentral:misc_RNA from 1 species